AGUUAAAAAGACCAGCAAAAAAGUUCGAGUUAACUAUGAAAUCGAGUUAUCAAAUUUUCGUUUUAUUUUAAUUUUAUUCGUUUUUAUGCCGACAUUACGAAAACAUAUCUUAAAAUCUUAAAUAUGCCCGAUUGAAACGUAACGGGGUACUUAAGUACUUAUACAAGUAUCUGAGUGAAUAUCGUGUUGUAUUAUCGAAUGAUAAACCAACUGGUUUACCAGUUAACAGUAUCAAAUCCUAUAACAUUAAUAACUUUAUUUUCGAUAGUAAAUGUGCUCACAUAUAGUAAUAACUCGUAUAUCGCAGAUCCUAAUAAAAUUGAAACUUCGAGUUAUCCACGAAAUAUUUGAGCUAAAUGCGAUUUGUUUACAUUGUUAAAUGGGAAAUUCUAGACCAGGUAAAAAGUUCGAGAUGUCAAAAUGUACUCCGACACAAUUAUGUACGAGGCUAAC